rnacentral:misc_RNA from 1 species
AAGACUAUAGACCUGCGGAGUACCUGCGGAGGGAUCAUUACAGGACUCGCAAGACUCCUACAACCCUGUGAACCUACUAUACGAACGUUGCUUCGGCGGGUGCGCCCCGGGGAUUCGUUCCCGCGGCGCGUCAGCCCGCCGGCAGCCUACAAAUUCUGUUUCUUUGCGUUGGCAUCUCGAGAAAAACAAAUAAGUUAAAACUUUUAGCAAUGGAUCUCU